rnacentral:tRNA from 1 species
GCCUCAGUAGCUCAGUCGGUAGAGCGUUGCCUUGGUAAGGCAAAGGUCGCGAGUUCAAUUCUCGCCUGAGGCU